rnacentral:lncRNA from 1 species
UUAAAAUGGAAGAGAUCAGGUAUCCGAAGAACUUAGUCCUGUCUCGGGAUAAUAUGCAUGCCAUUUUCGAUGCCCUUCGGGCUGGGCGUUCGGUGCCUGAGGUUGCUGCAGAGGUGGCUCAAGUUGCUUCUUCCAAGAAAGUUAGCCGACCUCCUGCCAAGGCUUCCUCUCGAGAUCCUAAGCCGAGCUCUCGCGGCACCAAAUCAUCUCGGCUAUCCAGUCGUGGCAAGUCGGC